rnacentral:tRNA from 1 species
ACUGAAAAUGCUAAGAUGAGAUUUAAAAAUUUCCGCAAGCA